GACAAACGCUGGCGGCAUGCCUAAUACAUGCAAGUCGAACGAGAGGAAGGAAAGCUUGCUUUUCUGAAUCUAGUGGCGAACGGGUGAGUAACACGUAGGUAACCUGCCCAUGUGCCCGGGAUAACUUCUGGAAACGGAUGCUAAAACCGGAUAGGUAGCAGACAAGCAUUUGACUGCUAUUAAAGUGGCUAAGGCCAUGAACACGGAUGGACCUGCGGUGCAUUAGCUAGUUGGUGAGGUAACGGCCCACCAAGGCGACGAUGCAUAGCCGGCCUGAGAGGGCGGACGGCCACAUUGGGACUGAGACACGGCCCAAACUCCUACGGGAGGCAGCAGUAGGGAAUUUUCGUCAAUGGGGGGAACCCUGAACGAGCAAUGCCGCGUGAGUGAGGAAGGUCUUCGGAUCGUAAAGCUCUGUUGUAAGAGAAAAACGACAUUCAUAGGGAAUGAUGAGUGAGUGAUGGUAUCUUACCAGAAAGUCACGGCUAACUACGUGCCAGCCGCCGCGGUAA
rnacentral:rRNA from 1 species